rnacentral:rRNA from 1 species
AUACGGAGGGUGCAAGCGUUAUCCGGAAUCAUUGGGUUUAAAGGGUCCGUAGGCGGACUAUUAAGUCAGAGGUGAAAUCCCACAGCUCAACUGUGGAACUGCCUUUGAUACUGGUAGUCUUGAGUUAUAUGGAAGUAGAUAGAAUGUGUAGUGUAGCGGUGAAAUGCAUAGAUAUUACACAGAAUACCGAUUGCGAAGGCAGUCUACUACGUAUAUACUGACGCUAAGGGACGAAAGCGUGGGGAGCGAACAGGAUUAGAAACCCGAGUAGUCC